AGCCCAAACAAUAAUUGCAACUAAUGAUUCUUAAUUUAAUUUUUAUCGUUCCAGAUGAUGAAUCAGCUCCAAUUGGAACUACAACUUAGCGUAUGACAUUCUUUGAAUAUUUUUGAAAACAAUUACUACCAAAUCUGGUCACUAAUGCUGCUUCUCUUCACUUAAUGAAAUUCUUCAGGAAUUUAAUAGAUAUCCUACUUUGAACAUGAUUGCAUUAAAGUUCAUCUAUGAAUGAAUAUUCACACAGUUUCUUUUUAAAAUUUUCUUUCAGAUUUUGACUACUGUUUUUGAUUACUACAAGGGCAAUCCUUAAAUAAUUGAUGACAUAUUUGCAUCACUUGAAUUGAAGAUUCAUGAUGGUGAAAAUGGCCAUUAUGUGUAGGAUGUUUUUUUGGUAUUAGUUGUUGGUAUAUAAGACUUGGUAUAAGUAGCAAAAGAUAUAUUUCUUACUACAUUUGGUAUAUUGGAAGCUUCAAGGAGGCUGAAAAUUCAUUAUAGAUGAAUCAUUAUGAUUUUGUUAAUAAGUUGAACAAAAUGGUCAAACUUCACCCUUUCGUUUUUCUUUAUAAAGAUGGUUGUGGUUAAACAAAAAUUUCUUCCCGCUGGACUCAAUUGCACAUCUUCCUGCUGGACUAUGAGUUAAACAAAAUGGUCAAACUUCACCCUUUCAUUUCCACCUUGCAGUUUGAUUUUCAUUUCUUAUAAUAUUUGUCUCUUAUUCAUUUGAGAAUUUGUCUGCUUCUAGUGCAUAAUUUCUUCUUUCGACAUUUUCAAUUUUACCAAAUAACAAGUAUGCUUGCUGAUUGUUUGAAAUUGAAAUUUAAGUGAAGCACACAAGCAGUUCGAUGAAAUGCUUUGUCAAGAUAUUGAAUCUGUUUGCUUAGAUGUUUCUGACCUAUGCAAUUCAUCAAGCCAAUGGUUCGUGUUUUAUUUUUAAUUUCUAAAACAUAAUUUUGUUUCUUUACUUUUAUUGAUUCGCUGAAUAAUAUUUCUUAGAUUUUUCCAUUAUUUUAUUGAGAGGUAAGUGACAACAGAACAAGAAUGCAUCAAACAUAUUACCAAGAGAAAUAAAAAUCAACUUUGCACUAAACUAUAGACUCAGAAUCCUUAAGUAUCCUUCCUUUCUCAAAGAGGCUAUGGCAGCAAGUUAAGUCAUAGCGUCUAAUAUAAUCCUAGGCAUAUAGUUGGUACCAAGUAGUCCUUUAGGGGCAAAAAUAAGUUGAAGGCCAAUAUUUUGAAAAGCACCAUAAGAGAAAUUGCUAGGUCUGCAGUGGUUUAUUAUGUUUGUAUACUUAUUUUCUACAUUGCCAAAAUAAGAACAAACUUCAAAGAAAGUGUGAAUUCAAAACUGGAUUCCAUUGUAGAAUGUUCUAACCAAAGUUACUAUUUUUUUAUUGAUUGCAUUGCUCAUAUGGUUACUGCAUUUUUCCAUUUUCUGCUUUUUUCCCCCCUUAAUGUGGUUUAACUAUUGAAAAAAUUUGGAUUUGGAUGGAAAACAUAAGAAUAUGCAAUGUUUGAGAGGUUUCUAUGCGGUUUGAAGUGUCUGCUGGAAUUCAAAACCUCUAAGAUUCAGAUUCUAGAGCUAAAAUGGGAGGAAUGUGGAGCAGUCAUUAAAGGACUAGAUCCUAUGUCAAGGUCAUCAGUAGGUUCUGAAAGCUGAAAAUUUGAAAUGGGUUGCCAAAGGAAGGUAUUUGAAGUUGAGAAGAAUUGGGACUAUAGAGUCUGUUCAUAAGACUAUUCAGGGAUGCAGCGAACACAUGGGAAGUGGACACUGAAUUUAAACCACCUGAUGUACUUUUCUGCAGUUUUCUUGGAUGUAUAGCACAUGAUCAUAUAUUGGAGGGAUGCAGCAAACACAUGGGAAGUGGACACUGCAUUUAAACCAUCUGGUGUACUUUUAAGCAGUUUUCUUGGAAGUAUAGCACCUGACAUGAUCAUAUAUUGGAUGUAUAGAUCUCUCUCUUUUCAUGAUAUGUCUAUAUGAUGGUGUAAAACCAAUAAAGAAUUUGGUAAAGAAAAUUAUUGUUGGAUGCUUAAUACGGUUCUAUGUAUUAUAUGUGUCGUGUAUGAAGAUGAAAAGAUAACAGUCCAGGUCCAUUAGAUAUUUCAUAAUUGGAAACUCAUAUGUUGGGGGCAAUUUCUUGAGUUAGUAUUUUGGCAAAAAGAUGGCAGUUUCUUGAGAUUA